AUGUCCAGCAGAAACAACAACAAGCUGCCCAGCAACCUGCCGCAGUUACAGAAUCUGAUCAAGCGAGACCCACCGCCCUACAUCGAGGAGUUUCUACAGCAGUAUAAUCACUACACAUCCAGUGUGGAGAUUUUCAAAUUGCAACCAAAUAAACCCAGCAAAGAACUAGCAGAACUGGUAAUGUUUAUGAUUAGUCUCUGCUACACAGGGUAUCUAAGUAAUUUUCUUCAAGUGGUGAAAGAUCUUAUGUCCUGUAAUCAUACCGUAUUGGAUCCAGAUCUUCGAAUGACGUUUUGCAAAGCUUUGAUCUUGCUGAGAAAUAAGAAUCUCAUCAAUCCAUCAAGCCUACCAGAGCUCUUCUUUGAACUUCUAUGUUGCCAUGAUAAGCUUCUGCAAAAGACUUUAUACACACAUAUCGUGACUGAUAUCAAGAAUGCAAACACAAAACACAAGAAUAAAGUGGAUGUAGUAUUGCAAAAUUUCAUGUACACCAUGUUAAGAGAUAGCAAUGCAACCACAGCCAAGAUGUCUUUAGAUGUUAUGACUGAACACUACAGAAGGAACAUCUGGAAUGAUACCAAAACUGUCAGUGUUAUCACAACUGCCUGUUUCUCUAAGGUCACCAAGAUAUUAGUUGCUGCUAUGACAUUCUUUCUUGGGAAAGAUGAAGAUGAAAUACAGGACAGUGACUCCGAAUCUGAGGAUGACAGACCAACAGCAAGAGACCUGCUAGCACAAUAUGCUAUAGGGAAGAAAAGUUCCCAAAACAAGAAAACAUUGGAAAAGGCAAUAAAAGUGCUCAAAAAACAAAAGAAGAAGAAAAAACCAGAGGUGUUUAACUUUUUAGCUAUUCACUUGAUUCAUGAUCCCCAAGAUUUUGCAGAAAAACUACUAAAGCAGCUUGAAUGCUGUAAGGAGAGGUUGGUAGUGAAGAUGAUGCUCAUGAACCUCAUCUCCAGAUUGGUGGGAAUUCAUGAGCUCUUCCUCUUCAAUUUCUGUCACUUUUUGCAAAGGUUUCUGCAGCCCACCAAAGAGAAGUAACAAAGAUCCUUGUUUGCUGCACAAGCAUCUCAUCACCUAGUACACCCAGCGAUUAUUCAAUCAUUGCUUAUGACUGUGGUCAACAAUUUUGUUAUUGACAAGAACUCUGGAGAAGCCAUGACAGUAGGAAUCAAUGCUAUAAAAGAGAUAACAGCUCAGUGUCCUCUGGCCAUGACUGAAGAGCUUCUCCAAGACCUGGCCUGGCUCAGUAUAAACCACACAAGAAUAAGAAUGUAAUGAUGUCUAGUAGAACUUUGAUUCAGCUCUUCCGAACACUGAAUCCUCAGAUGCUGCAGAAGAAAUUCUGGGGUAAGCCUACAGAAGCCUCUGUAGAAGCAAGAAUACAGUAAUAUGGAGAAUUAGAUGCUAAAGAUUACAUUCCAGGAGCAGAAGUUCUGGAAGUUGAGAAAGAGGAGAAUGCUGAAAAUGAUGAAGAUGGAUGGGGAAGUACCAGUCUCAGUGAGGAGGAGGAUGCCGAUGGGGAAUGGGUUGAUGUUCAACACUCUUCCGAUGAAGAACAGCAAGAAAUUUCCAAGAAGCUGAACAGCAUGCCCAUGGAAGAGCAGAAAGCCAAAGCAGCAGCCAUUAGCACCAGUCGAGUUUUAAGUCAGGAAGACUUCCAGAAAAUCCGCAUUGCCCAAAUGAGAAAAGAACUUGACGCUGGCCCCUGAGAAAUCCCAGAAGAGGAAAUAUAUUGAAAUUGACAGUGACGAAGAGCCCAGGAGUGAAUUACUUUCUCUUCGGGACGUUGAACGCCUUCAUAAAAAGCCAAAGCCAAAGUCUGACAAAAAGACAAGAAUAUCAGCUGCAAUGUCUGGAAAGACAGACUGAAAAGGAUUUGUGAGGAAGAAAACCAAAAUGAAUCCAUUUUCCAGUUCAAAAAAUAAAGAGAAGAAAAAACAGAAGAACUUUAUGAUGAUGCUGUAUAGCCAGAAUGUCUGGUCAAACAAUAAGCGUUCCUUCCGAGAAAAAUAGUUGGCGCUGCGAGAUGCACUUUUGAAAAAGAGAAAAAGAAUGAACUUCCCAGAAAGUUUUCCAUUCCAAGAAGAAUGCUAAUUUGUGUCACUAUUAUUCAUGCAAAAGUAUUGAAUGCCUGUUGUCCCUGUAGAUACAAAAUGAAUGAGUUGUAACUACCCCUUCACUCAAGGCUUGACAGCUUAGUUGUGGGGGUGAACACAUACAUGUGUAUUUACAGUGCAGUGUAAAUAGUUCUCUAGUAGAGGUAGGUCCAUAUUUCUAUGCAGUCACUGAGGCCUUAUGGACUAACACUGUGGGGAUGGGGGUUAUAUAUUCCUGUAAAACAAAACAAAACAGGAUAAUUAUAACAAGAGUAAGAGGUUCUUUCUUGUAUGUAGGCUUACCUGCUGAAAACAGGCCCCUGCUGUACAGAUUUUGGGUACAUAAUUGAGCUCUUUUAGUCAAUUCAAGAGAUUUAAAUGACCCCCCCCCCCUUUUUUUUCUUUUUGGAAUGCCAUUUAAAGGCUUUUUGGUUAAGACCUCACUUUUUGGAAUGUAUUUAGUUCAUCAUUUGAGAUGACUUCAUACUGGUUUCCUCAACCUUCCUUCACCCUGUAUUAUUUUCAGCCCACUGUUUACCUUGUCUCAAUAAAAGGUUUCUAAUGCCAAAUAAAAAAAUAUUGAGGGGAUUAUUGACAUAUUUAUAGAAUUGUUUUCCCAGUCAGGACUACGAGAUCCCACUUUGUUCUAUUUUCCUUUUAGGUGCUCCUUUUAAAAGGUU